rnacentral:lncRNA from 1 species
GUUUCCCUGCUUGAACAACGACACUUUUCUUGCUGUGAGGCAUUCGAGACCUACCAAGAAAAACACUUCAGUCGAAGGCUAGGUACUAAGCCUUUCAGGCAGGCUAAUAAACAGACGCAGAUCAAGAGACUUGCUUGACAGACACGUAAAGCACACUUGCUUAGGAAAGCCAUGGCGCAUGGUGGCUUUCCAUGGACUCGUGCAUGCUGAGCUUUGAUUUGGCAUGCAAACCCAGGAAUGAUGGAGUUUCAGUCCACGUGAGGACUAACAGAUACUUUCUCUACAAAGAGGUCAACGUGACUUUGACUUAGCUGAUGCUCUUGAUCACCCGGAUGACAUAAUUACCAGGAAGCCAACAGUGAUCAGAAGACCAACACGGCCUCUGCUGAACAAUGAUCUGCAUUUAGGAGAUGCUUUUGGUGGAGGUGACAUCCCAAGACAACCUUUAUACCCACCUCUUCCACCACGACCAGGAAGCCACAGUAAUUCUGGAGGUUUUAAUGACUUAGAUCUCGUCGACGGGAAGCCCUUACCACCGCACAUAGCAGAUAAUAUUCUUCUUCAGAAAUGAAGUGGCUGGAGGAGGGGA